rnacentral:pre_miRNA from 1 species
CUGGCUAGUCGGAUCCACCAGCAGGGAGGCCGGGGUCGCCAGAUCCGGAGGCCCCUGCCUCCCCAUUGGCUAAUGCGGCGGCGUAC